rnacentral:lncRNA from 1 species
UUUCUUUAAGUGUUUUUUUGCUUUUUUCAUUAAUAUCAAUUUUUAUAGUAAAUUCUUCUCUAUAUUUUCUUUCCAAUAUUCAACUCAAAUAUAUUUAGUUAAAAUUAAAAUUUUAUUAUAUUUAUAAAUAUAAUAAUUGAGUUGGUAUCAUUUGUAUUUAAUAUAUAAAAAUAUAAUAGUGUUUUUCCGUGCAUUGCUUGGGAUGCAAAUGCUAGUUAUAUAUUUUUAAUAAACAAAUACACGCAUAAAUAAGUGACAUUUUAACAUCCACUAAUAUGAUAACAAAAUAUACAACUCUUAGAAAUAUAAAAAUGCAAUAUUUUUGUUAAAUAACUACCACUUUUUAAUUUCUACAUCUAAAUAUUUUAUGUUAAGUAUUUCAUUAAAAACACAGAGAAAUGAAAUGAUGAGUGGUGAAUGUGGUUUUUACCAACACUAGUUUUAAGACACAAUUCUCGGACCUAACCUGGUUUCGAACUCAUGGAGUAAGAUGGGACGCAUAGGUUUUCAGUGUUCCUUCCCUUUUCCUCGAUUAUUCUUUCCUAAGCUCUCUUUCUUCUUUAACGGUAGGAUUUUUCAAAUGAGGAUGACCAAGAUAUUUCUUUUGGACUUUUCCUAAGGAAUUUGAGCAAUAAUUUGAACUUAGGACUUUCAAAGACUGAUAUCCCUACCUUUUUUAGAAUGCAUGUCCUAAGGGGCAAUCUAGUAAUUUCAUUGCUCAGAUACGGAGGGGUAGUUCCGACCUUUUACUUCUCAUUUUCGCUAUGGGGGAGGGUAGAACGGUCCUUUCUACUUUAGAGCAUCUUCCACGUCAACUGACAAAUUGUUAGUUAUGGAGGCGAUCCCUGCAAAAAAGGAGAAAAUGACCGCCUACAAUUCAGUUAUACUAAAUGUCUGCAAGUACACUUCUCUUUUUCGUAUUUGCUUUCUUUUCGUCCGUAUUUCUCCCAUUCUGAUACGAUCUGACUAAGACCUUGUACCACUCGGCUCUGGUACUAGGGGGUAACUUCUUCGAAUUUAUCUCUCCUCAAAGGGUCCUAUAAACGAGGUUCCCCUACUUUUGAAUUUCGCUCUGAGUUCCCUUUCAAGCGGGUUUCGCUCUGGUAGACGCGUCUUCCUUUCUGGGAUGUCCGAGGUAUUUGGGCUUUCGGUUUUGUCUAGAGACCAAAAACUAGAGCCCCGAAUUCCAUCCUCAUCAAUGAGUAUAACUUUUUAAUAUUGAAUCAAAAUACAUUUCACAAUUUUGCAAAAAAAAAAAAUCUUAUUAUACUAAUUUUCAGAAAGCAAAGUAAUGAAGUUGAAAAUCAAAUAACAGGAAAAUUUUCAUAUAAUCAGGCGAAUACAUUAUUUUCGGGUCAACCCUAUAGAGUUCGGAUUAUUUUCAGGCCAACCGAUAGGGUGUCGAGCUAUUCGAGCUGUAACUUUAUCGGAUUAAAAAUUUUCAGCGUUAAUCCUCUUGAAUUAUCGGGCUAGUCGGGUCAGCCUACGAAUUUUAGGCUGGAUUGAGAUGGACAACUUGAAGAGGCUUUUAAGCUCUCAUUUUAAUUAGAUCUUAAUUAUUAUUAAUAAAUUUUAAUUAAAAAUUAAUAAAUCUGGCUUGUAUUCAAUUAUAUAUGACGGAUACGCACAUGUUUUCUUUUUACCUUUAAAAUCUGGGUAGCAAAAGCUUAGUUUCUUGAACAACUAUGAUAGUAUAACGAGACCUUUAACCACUACCUAUUAUAUAUAUUUGAAGCAAUUAAGUUCUUAUGGGGUUAAGAAAUAUCAACUAUAUCAAAGCUGAGACAUUUAACACAGGAUAAAAAUUUAUUUGUUUCAAAGUGUAAUAUGUUUGUAAAUAUUAUAAUUUAAAUUAAUACAAUAAACAAUAAAUAACAUACAAAUUGUGGUACUCGUUUCGUCUCAUUAUUAUUGUCUCAUUUUCAAAAAAUGUAUAAUUAGCCCUUCAAAAUUUGUGGAUUUUACCAUCUUUAACCAAUUUAUACUUUCUUCUUAAUUCUCGUAUCCAAAAAUUUUGAGACAAGAUUAUUAGGACAGAGGGAGUAUUAUUUAAUCUUUGUAUACACGCUUAUAAUAAUUUUAUUUAUACAUAAUUUGGUCUGGUCUAAAAUUAAGAGUUAUUUGAAUGGAGAUAAGUCUUCGCAACAAAAUUGGUUAACAAAACAAUAUACUAUAAAAAAAUAAAUUUUAAUAAAAAUAUUGAUCUUCUAUGCUCAUAUACCAGUAAGAAUUUUUGACUUUAGACAAAGUUAACAAAAUAUAUAUGGAAUACUGGAUUAUUUUAAUGCUCAUAAUUUAGUCUUGAUAAAUAUAUAAGAUGGGCUAACAAGUUCACUUGAAUUCUCUAUUUUGACUUUUUAAAUUUAAUUAUUGCUAGGUAUAACAUAUUUCACAAAAUACUAAUUUUCACUCAUAAUCUCAUAUACAAUGACUAUAAACAAAAACAAGUAAAUUUUGACUUUUUAAAUUUAAUUAUUGCUAGGUAUAACAUAUUUCACAAAAUACUAUUAAUUUUCACUCAUAAUCUCAUAUACAAUGACUAUAAACAAAAACAAGUAAAUCGUUGACUUGCACUGAUUAUUUAACCAUUCACAACUCUCAAGUCAUAGCAGUCACAAUAAUCUGUAAAAUUGAGGAUGUUUAUAGUAGAUUGUACAUGCUAAGUUGGUGGUGUAAAUUGGGAUAAAUUGAAAGUUAAUUAUUUGGAAAUCGUGUAAAAAUCGCAAAUAGGUAAAAUUGAUAAUGCGUGUAAAGUUAAAGGACAUAAAAGGCGGAGGAGUGGGGUUGGGAAGCAGCUCUCUCACUUUCAUCCAUAUUUUAAGUGUAGUGGUAGUGCUGCCCACCCACAUGUGACCUAUAUAUAUACACUAUACACCUCUAUAAUCAUCAAAUUAAUAUUCAUGACAUGCCAACACGCAUCUCCAUAUUCCUAUUUCAACACAAAAAUAAACACAAGAAAAAGAAAAAGGCAGGCUAGUAAUUACAUUUGAUUACUCCUCCACUUGGUAUUGUAUUGCAUAGUGUAUACCCCUCCAACAUUAACACCAUUAUCUUAAUCACCACCAUCAUCAUCCUCUAAACCGCUCCGCCAUUUCAACAAACACUUGGCGUGCAUCUUAUAUGUGUUGGAAAUAGAAUGAUGGGCAUUAUUUGGGGCUGGGUGGCCGCCGCGCUCCUCUUCUCCGCCGCCGCCGCCGAUCCCAACGACGAGCGCUGCCUCACCCACCUCAGCCAGUCGCUGCAGGAUCCCCUCAGGAAUCUCCAGAACUGGACCAAGGACACCUUCGCCAGCCCCUGCCAGGGAUUCACCUCCUUCCUCGAGGGCGCCACCUGCAACAACGGCCGCAUCUACAAGCUCUCUCUCUCUAACCUCUCUCUCAAGGGCUCCAUCUCCCCCUUCCUCUCCAACUGCACCAAUCUGCAAGCCCUCGACCUCUCCUCCAACCAGCUCUCCGGCCCCAUCCCGCCCGACCUCCAGUAUCUCGUCAACCUCGCCGUCCUCAAUCUCUCCGCCAACCACCUCUCCGGCGACAUCCCGCAGCAAUUGGCCCUCUGCGCUUACCUCAACGUCAUCGAUCUCCACGAUAACCAGCUCUCCGGCCUAAUUCCGCAGCAGCUAGGGCUUCUGGUGAGGCUCUCGUCUUCGAUGUCUCCAAUAACAAACUCUCCGGCCCCAUUCCCUCCUCCCUCGGGAACCGGAGCGGUAACCUGCCCCGCUUCAAUGCGAGCUCCUACGCGGGGAAUAAGGGCCUCUAUGGCUACCCCUUGCCGCCGAUGAAGAGCAGCGGCCUCUCCGUUCUGGCCAUCGUCGGGAUCGGGCUCGGCAGCGGCCUUCUCAGCUUGGUCCUCAGCUUCACCGCCGUCUGCGUUUGGUUGAGAGUCACCGAUAAGAAAUCGGAAAACGAUGAAGGCAAGAUCAGCCAGCUUAUGCCCGAUUAUUGAGAUCGUCAUUCAUUAAUUGCUCGGAGAUUAUUUAAUUUUGCAGGUAUGCUUCUUUUUUUUUUUUUUUUAAAUUGUUAAUGGGGAUUAUUAGUGUAAUUGGGUAGGUGUAGCCUAAGCCAUUGUUGUUUCUAUCUUCUCAUCUCAUCUCGUGAUUCUUUUCGUAUGUUUAAUUAAGCUUAGUACAUUUUCUUGACAAAUUCAGUACAAAUAUGUAAAGAAAUGAAUGAAUUUUGGAGUUUUGAAUCCGUGUGUCGGAAAAGUAAAUUUGUUGGCGUGCGAAAGGAAAUGAAAUGCACAUGACAAUGAUGAAAAUAUGGAAAUGAUUUAGUGAAAUGCGCAAAACGACUUUCCGGCAUCGUUUACCAGAAAUGUUGGGUGGCUCCAUAAUUUAAGGUAAGAAGGCACCCACAGCUCGUGGCCCUUUUGCCUAAUUACAUGGAAUCGAAAUAUCUCCUUUUUCCACUCUAUACAAAUUACUACCUUCUUUUCUUUUUCUUUUCAUUCUACCAAUUCUCAAAUCCAUCAUUCAUAUACAAGCUGAGUCCAACUUUGAAACCCAUUUUCUUGUUGCGACAUUCAGUCAACUCUUUUAUGAUAUCAUUUUUAUUGCUUGCUUGGGAUAUUUUUUAAGCUUAUCUGUUCCCUUUCUUUUUUAUUCGCUUUUUAAUACAAUGUAAUGUAAAUACAGGAAAUUUGGGGCCCAGUAUACAUGUAGAAGGGCAGGGGCCCAAGUAUAUAUUUCUUUUAAGUUUUUUUUUAAUGGUUUAUUUGACCAUACGUGACAAGAUUGGGUGAAGUUGGUACAUUGGAUUUGGAAAUAGGAGGGGUGAGCAACAUCCAAUCGAAAUUGAAAUUCGGUGGCAGGGGAAUUAGGGUUGGUUUUGAUGUCAUUUUGAGUUGGGUUCCAUUUUUUAUUUGUAUGUGAAAUCAAAAUGUAGAUUCGGCCGGUUUAGUUUAUUGAUGUAAUUUGCUUUAUAAUUUUCAAUUAUAAAUUUUUAAAGUUUAUAUAUAUUUUAUUUCCAACAUAUUUUUCAAUUAUAUCCUUUAUUCAGUUUGGACAAAAAUAUGUUUUGCAUUCUUAAAGCCCAAACCUCAUUUAAUCGGCAUCAUAUUUCACGCAUCGGCAUUGCACGAAUUUGUUACUACUUUUUUGUUUUCGGGACACUUGUUUAAUCAUGAAAAACGAGGUUAUGUGAAAUUAUAUAGAAAAAAUUUGUGUACAUCUUUAAUGUAUCGGACAAUCAGUUUAAUUAGAGUUUACUAAUCUCUAAUUAGAGUUUUAUAUCACCAACUUUUCAAUCAAACUUAUUGCCGAAGUGACCGUCUGACUGAUUUUAACUCGUUCAUUUUGCUACCUUUGCAAACAGACGUAGUUUUAGUAAUGGACGAAUUUGGAUACAUAGGAUUGCAGACGGCUACUUUAGCACUAAUUUUGGCCGGAAAAAAAUGAGUAGGAUAGUAAAAUGAUUAAAAAAAUACUAUUUAAU